rnacentral:rRNA from 1 species
GACGAACGCUGGCGGCGUGCUUAACACAUGCAAGUCGAACGGGCCUUGUCCCCUUUUUUUUGGGGGUGGGGUUAGUGGCGAACGGGUGAGUAACACGUGAGUAACCUGCCCCUCACUUCUGGAUAACCGCUUGAAAGGGUGGCUAAUACGGGGUGUUCUGGCCUGCUCGCAUGGGUGGGUUUGGAAAGAUUCGACCGGUUUUGGUUGUUUUGGUGGGGGAUGGGCUCGCGGCCUAUCAGCUUGUUGGUGGGGUGAUGGCCUGCCAAGGCUUUGACGGGUAGCCGGCCUGAGAGGGUGGGCGGUCACACUGGGACUGAGACACGGCCCAGACUCCUACGGGAGGCAGCAGUGGGGAAUAUUGCACAAUGGGCGCAAGCCUGAUGCAGCGACGCCGCGUGAGGGAUGGAGGCCUUCGGGUUGUGAACCUCUUUCGCCAGUGAAGAAGGUCCUGCUCUUUGUGGUGGGGUUGACGGUAGCUGGGUUAAUGAAGCGCCGGCUAACUACAUG